GUCGGUCUAUUGAUCGAUGAUUCAGGGACGAUCUGAUCAAAAUUAGUUCCAAAAUAAAUAUCACGACGGUUCUGCCGAAAUUUUGGCAAACGCACUCAUAUUGACCGAGUCUUCAGUCUUUCACUUGCACUAGACUGUUGGCUGGUGAGAACGGAGUAGAUGACCGAUAUGGACUCUACCGAGCGCAAGGAAGGA